UGGGGAAUUUUGCACAAUGGGGGAAACCCUGAUGCAGCGACGCCGCGUGAUUUAGAAGGCCUUCGGGUUGUAAAAAUCUUUUCUAUGGGAAGAAAAUGACAGUACCAUAGGAAUAAGGACCGGCUAAUUACGUGCCAGCAGCCGCGGUAAUACGUAAGGUCCGAGCGUUGUCCGGAAUCAUUGGGCGUAAAGGGUACGUAGGCGGGUAAGCAAGUUAGAAGUGAAAUCCUAUAGCUCAACUAUAGUAAGCUUUUAAAACUGCUCAUCUUGAGGUAUGGAAGGGAAAGUGGAAUUCCUAGUGUAGCGGUGAAAUGCGCAGAUAUUAGGAGGAAUACCGGUGGCGAAGGCGACUUUCUGGCCAUAACCUGACGCUGAGGUACGAAAGCGUGGGGAGCGAACAGG
rnacentral:rRNA from 2 species